UCUCAGGUCACCACAUGAACUGUGACAUAGUUUCUCAAAUGUUGCUAUAGCCUAUGAACAUUAUCAGCCUCAGAAAGCUCUUAUUUUGGCCCUGUAAAAGAGAUGAGAGAACUGGAAGCAAAACCUGGCUCAUUCAAAGCAAUCACUUAAGACCGAGGUCAGGAUUGGAAGCCUUUAAGGAAACAAGAAAGUGCAAUAGCUCUUCAGGAAAAAGAAAAAAGAACUGAAAGAGGGGCUUACGCUCCGCCUGCAUUAACAACACCAAACAACACUGAAGGCCCAUUUGCUUUCUGCGGUCCAUUGGCGAGGAGAAAACUGCCUGCUCACCGAUGCUGCAGCUGGUCUCACAAAGCAGCAGCCUGGAAGAGAAAACCCACUCACAAUUCAGUGCCUUCAGGUAGUUUUAGAGAACUAGUGAGACCCACACACCUAAAUUUGUCUCCAGCAUCAAGGUCUAAGAGAAAAAUCCCAGCAAAGUGCCCAGUGCAGUCCUGGAUUUUUCAAGCAUAGAAAAUAAGGAAGGAGUAAGCUUCCUACAUCUCUGCAACUGUUCUCAUCAUGACAGAAAUUGUUCUCGGUCGCCCAGGGUGGGAUUUAUGCAAUGUAAGAAAUUUUGGAGCUGUAUAACUGAUGAUUACUCAGGAAAGUACAGUUGCUCUUUCGGCUACUUUUUGGCACCAACAAUAAAGUAACUUCUAUAUUUUAAAAUUUUCAGAUUAUUUUCAAGAUUUGUGAUGA